ACGGAGGGUGCAAGCGUUAUCCGGAAUCAUUGGGUUUAAAGGGUCCGCAGGCGGUCUUAUAAGUCAGUGGUGAAAUCUCUCAGCUUAACUGAGAAACUGCCAUUGAUACUGUAGGACUUGAAUGUGGUCGAAGUGGGCGGAAUAUGACAUGUAGCGGUGAAAUGCAUAGAUAUGUCAUAGAACACCGAUAGCGAAGGCAGCUCACUAGGCCAUUAUUGACGCUCAUGGACGAAAGCGUGGGGAGCAAACAGG
rnacentral:rRNA from 1 species